UACGUAGGUGGCAAGCGUUGUCCGGAUUUACUGGGCGUAAAGAGCGCGCAGGCGGUCGUGCAAGUCGCGUGUGAAAGCCCCCGGCUCAACUGGGGAGGGUCACGCGAUACUGUUCGACUUGAAGGCAGGAGAGGGAAGUGGAAUUCCCGGUGUAGUGGUGAAAUGCGCAGAUAUCGGGAAGAACACCCGUGGCGAAGGCGGCUCUCUGGAACGCAACUGACGCUGAGACGCGAAAGCGUGGGGAGCAAACAGG
rnacentral:rRNA from 1 species